UGGUUGUGAGCCCGGGACUCUUCCCAUUUGUGAACCACAGACCAUCAGGGCAAAGAGGCCACUGAGUCAUAGGCAGGAAUGAUGAAUGGAUGGAAAUUGGCAUGGAUGAUGUGUGGUCGCUCCCCAGGGCCUGUGUGCAUCUGUAGGCUUUGGUGUGAAUGAGAGAACGGUAAGAGAGUCGCAUUGUUUAGGUGCUGGCCCAUCUUGAUAAAUUUCCCUGACUGUGAUUCCAGCACUGGGAGAGUAAGGCAGGAGAAACAGAAGCCCAAGACCAGCCUCUGCUACAUACUGUCAGGCUAGCCUGGGCUACAAGAGACCUUGUCUCAACCAACCAACAAAACAGUGACAAUAGUGGUUCAGGCAGAGCCCAGGAAAUCUCCACUGCCUGCCCGCCCUCUUCCCAGCUCUGUGAUUGGGGCCAGCUGCUGCAAAGCCUUCAGGUGCCUAUGGAAUCCAGAAGAGGGUGUUGGACUCCCUGGAGCUGGAGUCACUGUGCCCUUAACCAUGAGCCACCUCUGCAGGCCCAACGACUUUUGCCACGCCAUUGCCGCUGAACCAGCUGCUGUUGCCUGAUGCCACGCUGAGGUGGCUAUAGGGUGGCUACGCAGGAGCCAGGCUUGGAGGUGCCCUCCCCCAGGCGGGAGCUGGGUGGGGUGAGGGGGUGCUUGAGUGGUCCCGCCGGACCCUAGCUAGGCCUGGAGGCCAACCAACAGUGAGGCCAUUUAAGGCGGUCACCGUAGGUCUUGUGCCGCCACCUUGUGGUCAAAGCUUGUGUUUCCUCUCUAAGCCCCUGGCGGAAGCCAGAUUUUUUCUGACCUGGCAAUGUGGGGUUGACACUCUUACCCACUGUGUCUGUGGACCUAAAAGUCUUCUGCAGAGGACACUGGAAGGUGGCGAUAUGUGGGGCACACAACUUGAGGAAGCUGUCCUCCUCCGCUUCUUCUCUCUCCCCUUUCUCCUCAUGGGGCGAGCCUUCCUUCAGAGGAAGCUGAGGCACACCUGGUCUCUGAGCCUGUGGAGGGGAUCAGGACUCCAGGCUCCUUGUCCCUUCCUCCCCCAAACCAGGAAACAAGAGGGGACAGUUCCCAUAAGGACAAGAGGGAGAGCUUCCCCCGUGGCAAGCCGGAGGCCCUGGGACCCGCCCCACUGACCUUGGUCAUGGCUGACUUGUGCAGGUGCUUGUACAAGCCAAGGAGAUAGUUCCACGGGGUGGACCCCGCCUUGCAAGAGGCCAAUCUGAGGUCUCCUGUGAAGUAUCGGUCAUUGAGGCCGGCAGCAGGUUGGGGAAUGCCAGUCUCGGGGGGUGGCACUCAGAAUGGGGUUACCCUCUCUUCUGAUUUGUUUUUUACAUUUAAUUACGUUUUUCAAAAUUACAUUUUUAUGUCUUUAUCCUGGGGCGGGGGGAGGCACAUACCAUGGCAAGUGUACAAGGGGCCUGAGGACAGCUUGUAUGAAUCUGCUCUCACCUUGUGAGUCCCGGGAACCAAACUCGGGUCCUCAAGCUUGGCCGCAGUCUCCUCUACCUACAGACCCCUCUCACUGUCCCCUCCUCAUAUCGCUUCUUGUGGAUUUGUUUUGUUCUCUGUUCCUGAGAUGGCAACUCAUGAAGCCCAGCCUCAAACUCUGCUAUGUAGCUAAGGCUGGCCUUGAACUCCUGACCUCCCUGACUCUGCCCCCUGGGGUUCCAACUGUGGGCCACUAUGCCUAGCUUUGUUGUUGCUUCUCCUGUUGAGAGAGGUACGUCGCUAUGAAGCUGGGCAGACCUUGAACUUGGGGCAGUUCUCUUGCCUCCAAGUGCGGGACGGAAUGAGUCUGUUCUGUUAACGUAAUGCCCACUGGGCACCAGGCCCGGUCAGACACUGCACCUGGCUCUGCCCUGUUUUACUGAACACCUACUGUGUGCAGGGCCUGGAUCUAGCCCUUGACAAAGAGCAUCUCACUGAUGCUUGCAAUGUGCCUCAGAGACAGGUGCUAUUUGAUUUCCAUUUUACAGAUGAGGAAUGUGAGACAGAGGGAUUUGGCGUGGAGGAAGUGGGGUUCAGAUGCUGUGUCUCACACCCUGCUGGGCUCCCCAUCCUAGAGCAGAGGUGUCCAUUUCUGCCCCCCCCCCAGCCACCACCACUGCAGCCAGCUAUACUUACCAAUCUCAAUUAGGCAGUGCUCCUCCUCUUCCUCUUUGACGAAGCCCUCAGGGGUGAGGGCCAGUGGUCCUGGGACGCACUGCAGGGAUCCUUGUUCUGCCUCCAGGGCCUGGGUAAAGUGUUCCCUAAUCCCAAAGCAGUCAGGUCAAGUCAGGGGACACCCGGAGACAUGGCCAAGCCCAGUCCACCUUGGGUCUCUCCACAGACUUGCUUGGCCUGCCCUCCUCUCUUCCAGUCCCCUGCUCUGCUCCUGGGGGUCUCUAUCAGAGGGGUUUUCCUACCACUGAGGGAGGUAGGAAGUGGGGAUCUGGGUACCUUCCACACAGGGAGAGAAAGCCAGAAAGGGAGAGUAAGCGGGCAGGCUGGAAGCGUGGCCUCCAAGGGAGCUGAGAACAGAGGCACCAGCUCCAGCACGCAUGCCCAGCGCCGGGUACAACCCCUGUCAUCUCUCUUAUUAUUUGUUGUUUUACUUAGUUUUUCAAGACAGGGUGUCCCUGUGUAGUCCUGGCUGUGCUAGAACUCGCUCUGUAGACCAGGCUGGCUUCAAACUCAGAGAUCCGCCUGCCUCUGUCUCCCUUGUGUUGGGAUUAAAGUGUGCCACCCUGCCUGGGUAUUUUUGCUUUGUUGUGCUGAGGACUAAUCCCCGGGCCUGAAGUAUGCAGUGCUCUACCUAUGAGACACACCCCAGCUCCCUCUUUCAUCUUUGGUGCUCUCAACCCACACUCCAACCAUCCUCACAAGCCAUCAUCCGCCGAUCCCUCCUUCCUUCCGUGGGCACUACCCCUCAGUUGUGACUUCUAUCCACUUGUCGGGACCCUCCCUCCAGCCCUUCCCCCACAGCUUCCACCGGUGGGCCUCCAGCCUGCACCCUGCUCUAUCUGGAUCAUACCUCCCCUCCCAGUAACGGCCCCUCACCUGUCUGAGUCCCCCGAGGCCCCCGAGGCCUCCCCUGCUGGCUCUUCCUCCUUUCCUUUCUUCUCAGACAGGUGACCCAGAACCUCCUUGGUCUCUCUGGUGGGGACCGAUGACACCUCUGCACCCUGGGACCUCAGCUUCAGGGCGUCCUUGGAGGUUUCGGAGAAAGCGCAUCAUGGAGGAGCAGCCCAAGAUUCGCGACCUUGACCGAGGGGUCCGAGCCUGGGCCGCCAUCCUGAGAGGGACCCUGACUCAGGAAGAAGUCAUGGCAGCCAGCCCAGGACCAACUGCUAAUAG